GCGGAUGUGGAUCAGUUGGUAGAGCAUCACCUUGCCAAGGUGAGGGUCGCGGGUUCGAGUCCCGUCAUCCGCU
rnacentral:tRNA from 1 species